UCUACGGGAGGCAGCAGUGGGGAAUCUUGCGCAAUGGGCGAAAGCCUGACGCAGCGACGCCGCGUGGGGGAUGAAGCUUUUCGGAGUGUAAACCCCUUUCGACUGGGACGAAUGCCUCGCAAGAGGAGUGACGGUACCAGUAGAAGAAGCCCCGGCUAACUACGUGCCAGCAGCCGCGGUAAGACGUAGGGGGCCAGCGUUGUUCGGAAUUACUGGGUGUAAAGGGUUCGUAGGCGGUGUGGCAAGUCGGGAGUGAAAUCUAUGGGCUUAACUCAUAGACUGCUUCCGAAACUGCUGUGCUGGAGUGUGGGAGAGGCGCGUGGAAUUGCAGGUGUAGCGGUGAAAUGCGUAGAUAUCUGCAGGAACACCCGUGGCGAAAGCGGCGCGCUGGACCACUACUGACGCUGAGGAACGAAAGCUAGGGGAGCAAACAGGAUUAGAUACCCUGGUAGUCCUAGCCCUAAACGAUCAGGACUUGGGGUGCCUUCCGUUCGGAAGUCGUCCCGGAGCUAACGCGUUAAGUCCUGCACCUGGGGAGUACGGUCGCAAGACUGAAACUUAAAGGAAUUGACGGA
rnacentral:rRNA from 1 species